rnacentral:lncRNA from 1 species
AUGCGGCGGCGGCGGCGGCGGCGGAGGCGGGCGGGCGGGCGGCCGGGGGGCGGGCCGGGGGCGGGCCGAGGAUGGGGUUACCUGGGCGGGCCCAGCGGCCCGGGACACCCCCCGGGGGCGGGCCGGAGCGGCGGCGGCUGCCGCCCUAGCCCGCGGGACUGGGCUGCUCCGGGGCCUCCCCGGCUGGGCGCUCCGGAGGACUUGGGGCCCGAGCCCGCUCCAGGCACGCCUGGCUGCGCGCCGCCGAGCCCGGCCGGGCUAGAGGCGCGGCGACCCAGCUGCCCGGCCGCCGCCCGGGCCUCGGGGACGGGCGGGCACAGCUCCCCAACCCGCCGCUGCGGGCACUGCAGCGCGGCCCUCGCUGCCCCCCAACCCCCCACUGCCCCCCGCCGGCGCCUGGGAGCCCAGACCCCGGUCCGACCGCGGCAGACCCACCGGAGCGCGGCUGCCACUUGCGCGCACCCAGGCGCUGGCGCUCCGGGUGCCUGGGGCUGCACAUCUGGGCGCUGGAUGUCUCCCGGCCGCCCCCACCCGGUCCCUCCCUGCCUCCUGGCCCCCGCGUCCUGCGGCCCAGCCCCUCCCUGGCGCUCACCUCCCUACAGCUUUCCGGGAGCUGGACGGGGCCUCCCCAGCUUUGGGCAGCUUGGGACAGUGGCCCGAGACUGUGGGAAUCCGAAACCUCGCGUCUGGCUAGCCACAAGAUCUGGGCGCGCCCCAGGCAGCAGGGUCUUGACUCUGAGCCUCCGUUUUCUCAUCCGAGAAGUGGGCUUAAGACGCUGCGAUUGGGAGGACAGGAGGAGUUUAGGCAAGCUCUCUUGGCCCACUCACCAAGUCUUACUUUGCAUUUGGUUUUCUAUGUGCUUGUUCUAUUUAUCCUCCCAUACCAGGCGGAUUCAGCCUCUUGCUGGUUUCGGGCACAGGGCGGUGGCUGCCAUGUUUGUGGAAGGAAUAAAUGAAUGGAACGGAAUGGGCUGCAACAGCCUGUGCUUGGCUAGUCCAGAGAGCUCAAUUCCACACCACUGUAACCCCUAA